AUGAAGAAGUUUAGUGAUAUUCAGUUAGGACAUGCGACAAAUUACAAAAUGGAAGCUCUGCUUCAUAUGCCAAAGAAACUUAAAAUUCCAAUGAAUCUGCUUGAAUGGAUAGAUCAGCAUAUGUUUGGAAGUAAAGAGCCCUGUUUCAAGCAUAAGAAUAAAAUUAUCAAGAUUACUAAUGAUAUGGUCGACAAAAUUUUUGAUUUCCUUGGUGGCACCGAGCCUUUUGUAUUCAGUAGUGAUGAUCCCCAAGUGAAGGCAGAGGUUACAGAGUUAAGGAACAAGUAUGUUGAUCAUUGGAACAAAAUGUCAAUCAAAAAAAUAGAGGAGGUGAUGCUUAGUGACGAGACAGAAGAUGGUUUUAUCAGGAGCUUAGAUCAUCUAUUUUUUGCCUUGCGUCAUACUGCUUUGGUAACAUGA
rnacentral:rRNA from 1 species